rnacentral:rRNA from 1 species
ACUCAAAUGAAUAGACGGGGGCCCGCACAAGCGGAGGAACAUGUGGUUUAAUUCGAUGAUACGCGAGGAACCUUACCUGGGUUUAAAUGUAGAUUGCAUAAGUCGGAAACGGUUUUUUCCUUCGGGACUAUCUACAAGGUGCUGCAUGGUUGUCGUCAGCUCGUGCCGUGAGGUGUCAGGUUAAGUCCUAUAACGAGCGCAACCCUCAUUGCUAGUUGCUAUCAAGUAAUGUUGAGGACUCUAGCGAAACUGCCGGUGCAAACCGUGAGGAAGGUGGGGAUGACGUCAAAUCAGCACGGCCCUUAUAUCCAGGGCUACACACGUGUUACAAUGGCCAAAACAGAGGGCAGCAAGAACGCAAGUUGGAGCUAAUCCUAAAAUUUGGUCUUAGUUCGGAUCGGAGUCUGCAACUCGACUCCGUGAAGCUGGAUUCGCUAGUAAUCGCAGAUCAGCCAUGCUGCGGUGAAUACGUUCCCGGGCCUUGUACACACCGCCCGU